UGGUGUGUACUAGCCUGCCGAUUCCUCCUUCUUGUAGAACCGUAAUGCCAUUAAUUUGGUGUUGCGGGGAAACAGGACUGUUACUUUGAAAAAAUUAGAGUGUUUAAAGCAGGCUAGCGCCUGAAUACAUUAGCAUGGAAUAAUGAAAUAGGACGUUCGAACCUAUUUUGUUGGUUUCUAGGAUUGACGUAAUGAUUAAUAGGGAUAGUUGGGGGCAUUAGUAUUCAAUUGUCAGAGGUGAAAUUCUUGGAUUUAUUGAAGACUGACUACUGCGAAAGCAUUUGCCAAGGAUGUUUUCAUUAAUCAAGAACGAAAGUUAGGGGAUCGAAGACGAUCAGAUACCGUCGUAGUCUUAACCAUAAACUAUGCCGACUAGGGAUCGGAUGAUGUUAAUUUUUUA
rnacentral:rRNA from 1 species